GACGAACGCUGGCGGCGUGCUUAACACAUGCAAGUCGAACGGAAAGGCCCUGCUUUUGUGGGGUGCUCGAGUGGCGAACGGGUGAGUAACACGUGAGUAACCUGCCCUUGACUUUGGGAUAACUUCAGGAAACUGGGGCUAAUACCGGAUAGGAGCUCCUGCUGCAUGGUGGGGGUUGGAAAGUUUCGGCGGUUGGGGAUGGACUCGCGGCUUAUCAGCUUGUUGGUGGGGUAGUGGCUUACCAAGGCUUUGACGGGUAGCCGGCCUGAGAGGGUGACCGGCCACAUUGGGACUGAGAUACGGCCCAGACUCCUACGGGAGGCAGCAGUGGGGAAUAUUGCACAAUGGGCGGAAGCCUGAUGCGGCAACGCCGCGUGCGGUAUGACGGCCUUCGGGUUGUAAACCGCUUUCGCCUGUGACGAAGCGUGAGUGACGGUAAUGGGUAAAGAAGCACCGGCUAACUACGUG
rnacentral:rRNA from 1 species